AUGGUCUAGCCAGUCCAACCAAGCAAAAAGCAAUUUAAAGUUUGACCCCCCGAAACUAAGUGAGCUACUUCAAAACAGCCUAAAAGGGCCAACCCGUCUCUGUUGCAAAAGAGUGGGAAGAUUUUCAAGUAGAGGUGAUAGACCUACCGAACUUAGAGAUAGCUGGUUAUUCAGGAAAAGGAUCUUAGUCCUACCUUAAGCCCCCAAAUAAUUUUCAAUAUACCAAUGGGCCUAAGAGCUAUUCAAAUAAGGUACAGCCUAUUUGAAACAGGAUACAACCUCAACAACAGGGUAAUGAAUUUUUUUAAUAUGACCAAGUGGGCCUAAGAGCAGCCACCUUCCAAAAAGCGUUAAAGCUUAAUCAUCAAUAUAUUCUAAUUCCACUAACAUAUCAAAACCCUUAUCCAAUACUGAAUGAUUCUAUAAUACAUAUAGAAAACUAUAUGCUAAAACUAGUAAUAAGAAGAAGACCUUCUCCAAAAUAUAAGUGUGGGCCGAAAUGAACAACUCACCGGCACUUAACGCAAAUGAACCAAUAGUAGCAACCCUACAAGAAAACCCUACCUCAACAUGCGUCAACCCUUACACUAGUAUAUUUCUGGAAAGAUUAAAAGAAAAGGAAGGAACUCGGCAAACUAUUAACCCCGCCUGUUUACCAAAAACAUCGCCUCUUGAAAAAAUAUAAGAGGUCCAGCCUGCCCAGUGACAAAGUUAAACGGCCGCGGUACCCUAACCGUGCGAAGGUAGCGCAAUCACUUGUUCUUUAAAUGAGGACUAGUAUGAAUGGCAUCACGAGGGUUAUACUGUCUCCCUUUUCCAAUCAAUGAAACUGACCUCCCCGUGAAGAGGCGGGGAUAAUACUAUAAGACGAGAAGACCCCAUGGAGCUUAAAACUCAGUACCAAUUACCUGAUCACACCUCAUAUUAACUCGGUAAUUAUGGUUUCUGGUUUUCGGUUGGGGUGACCGCGGAGUAAAACACAACCUCCACGAUGAAUGGACCAACGCUCCUAAUCAUAGAGCCACAGCUCAAAGAAUCAAAAAAUUGACAUAAAUUGAUCCAAUUAGUUUUGAUCAACGAACCAAGUUACCCUGGGGAUAACAGCGCAAUCCACUUCAAGAGCCCCUAUCGACAAGUGGGUUUACGACCUCGAUGUUGGAUCAGGGUAUCCCAGUGGUGCAGCCGCU
rnacentral:rRNA from 1 species